AUGUACCACCCACACACUGCGGUUAUGAGCGCGCCGUCCGCAUCCACCUGACGGCUGCUCGCUACGUUUUGUUGGCC
rnacentral:sRNA from 2 species